AAAAAAAAAAAAAAAAAAGGAUUGUUUAAAGCCAUGGUUCUCAAAGUGUCAGGCCCCCUCUAGUUGUUAUGCAGGUGAAUCACUAAAUUAAACUAAUUAAUGUUAAUACAUUUUAACUUAAUCUUUGAGUAAGUUUUUUUUUUUUUUGCACAUUUAAGUAUGUUACAGUUAAAGUACAGUACAGUUUUGUAACUUUUGUUACAUAAUUACAUUUAAAAUUAAAUUUUAAUUUAAACUUUUUUUUUUCAUUUACCUGUGUAUGUAAGCACAGUUGUAGUGUUAAUGUUCAAACUGUAUUUACCAUGGUAAAGUGUCUGACAAUUAAUUUUCUUAUUAGAAUAAAACUGCCUCAUUUUUUAACUGUAGACCUGUAGCUGUAUAGUUUGGUCUACUACGCUGCUGAAAUGUAAUGUUGGUCAUUAUGGUGCAACUUAAUAUUUAAUAACAAAUAUUUUCUGAAGUGGUACUUAUAAAAAGUUUGAGAAUCAAUGGUUUAAAGAAAUGGUAUAAUAUGAAAUCCUGCUUUUUAAGAACUUUUCAGUAAACCAUUUCUUCUUUCCCCUUGUAGAGUCAUCAAGGAUCCAGCUUGUUCUUGAAACAUUGAAGUUUGCCCUCUGCAAGUGAACGACGCCUUGUGGUGCCAUCCCAAAGAGGUUCAUAAUCACUCUCAAGGACCUUUUCCUGGACUGUGUCCAGCUGCUGGAAUCACCUCCCAAUCUCAAUCCGAACUGCUGAGUCUUUAAUCAUUUUCAAGAAACAUCUUAAGACUCAUCUUUUUCACCAGAACUUAACCAACUAAUGCUAGCACUUUUCCUUCUUUUCUUGUCUUUUAUAUAUAAAAAAAAAAAAAACCUGGCUAUGCGUUCUGUACUAGACUAACUGAGACUUGUCAUGGCACUUGUAUACUGUUGUUGUUCGCUUGUACACCUGACUGCUUCUGUUCUUCUCAUUCGUAAGUCGCUUUGGAUAAAAGCGUCUGUUAAAUGAUUAAAUGUAAAUGUUUAUACAGGACGGUACAGAAAGUGCACAAGUGGGAGAGAGUGGAGGGGACGGUGUCAGAAAGGACCUAGCGCUGGGACACUUUCAAGGAUCACCCGAAGCACAACCACACUGUAUACACGAGGCUGCUGGUUCUAACAUUUUAGAGUGCCCUGCGGUAGAAAUCUCAUUCUGCAUUCCCCACGGUAAAGAAGACACAGUCCGGGGGGGUUCCCAUUAGAAAUCAACUGGUGGAAGGUUCCCUUCUCGAACUGUUCAACACAUUUUCACUGCACAAAUGUACACAACUCUUGUAAUGAGACACAUUACUAAAACAUGUUUUUGACAGAAACUGUAGGUUUCCACCAAAAUAAAAGAUCCACUGGUUUCAGUCAUAAAGGUACAA